UUGACUGGGGCGGUCGCCUCCUAAAAGGUAACGGAGGCGCUCAAAGGUUCCCUCAGAAUGGUUGGAAAUCAUUCAUAGAGUGUAAAGGCAUAAGGGAGCUUGACUGCGAGACCUACAAGUCGAGCAGGGUCGAAAGACGGACUUAGUGAUCCGGUGGUUCCGCAUGGAAGGGCCAUCGCUCAACGGAUAAAAGCUACCCCGGGGAUAACAGGCUUAUCUCCCCCAAGAGUUCACAUCGACGGGGAGGUUUGGCACCUCGAUGUCGGCUCAUCGCAUCCUGGGGCUGUAGUCGGUCCCAAGGGUUGGGCUGUUCGCCCAUUAAAGCGGUACGCGAGCUGGGUUCAGAACGUCGUGAGACAGUUCGGUCCCUAUCCGUCGUGGGCGUAGGAAAUUUGAGAGGAGCUGUCCUUAGUACGAGAGGACCGGGAUGGACAUACCUCUGGUGUACCAGUUGUCGUGCCAACGGCAUAGCUGGGUAGCUAUGUGUGGACGGGAUAAGUGCUGAAAGCAUCUAAGCAUGAAGCCCCCCUCAAGAUGAGAUUUCCCAACUUCGGUUAUAAGAUCCCUCAAAGAUGAUGAGGUUAAUAGGUUCGAGGUGGAAGCAUGGUGACAUGUGGAGCUGACGAAUACUAA
rnacentral:rRNA from 1 species